AUGAUGGACUACAAAUCUGGGUUGUUGAUUUUUAUCAUCUCCUUUACAGGCAUUUAUUGUCAGACUCUGACAGAAUCUGAACCAGCAGCAAAAAGACCAGGAGAAUCUCACAAACUGACCUGCACAGCCUCUGGUUUCACAUUCAGCAGCUACUGGAUGGCCUGGAUCAGACAGGCUCCUGGAAAAGGACCGGAGUGGAUCGCUUUUAUCAGCAGUGGCAGUGGUAGUAGCAAGUACUACUCACAGUCAGUCCAGGGCAGGUUCACCAUCUCCAGAGACAAUGGAAGAGAUCAGCUGUAUCUGCAGAUGAACAACCUGAGAACAGAAGAUUCUGCUGUUUAUUACUGCGCUCGAGACACACAGUGA